CCUACGGUAGGCAGCAGUGAGGAAUAUUGGUCAAUGGACGGAAGUCUGAACCAGCCAUGCCGCGUGCAGGAAGACGGCUCUAUGAGUUGUAAACUGCUUUUGUACAAGGGUAAACCUGAAUACGUGUAUUCAGCUGAAAGUACUGUACGAAUAAGGAUCGGCUAACUCCGUGCCAGCAGCCGCGGUAAUACGGAGGAUCCAAGCGUUAUCCGGAUUUAUUGGGUUUAAAGGGUGCGUAGGCGGAUUGAUAAGUUAGAGGUGAAAUGUCCGAGCUUAACUCGGGAACUGCCUCUAAUACUGUUAAUCUAGAGAGUAGGUGCGGUAAGCGGAAUGUAUGGUGUAGCGGUGAAAUGCUUAGAGAUCAGACAGAACACCGAUUGCGAAGGCAGCUUACCAAUCUAUAUCUGACGUUGAGGCACGAAAGCGUGGGGAGCAAACAGGAUUAGAUACCCUAGUAGUC
rnacentral:rRNA from 1 species